rnacentral:rRNA from 1 species
AGUGAACGCUGGCGGUAGGCCUAACACAUGCAAGUCGAACGGCAGCACAGUAAGAGCUUGCUCUUACGGGUGCGAGUGGCGGACGGGUGAGGAAUACAUCGGAAUCUACUUUUUCGUGGGGGAUAACGUAGGGAAACUUACGCUAAUACCGCAUACGACCUACGGGUGAAAGCAGGGGCUCUUCGGACCUUGCGCGAUUGAAUGAGCCGAUGUCGGAUUAGCUAGUUGGCGGGGUAAAGGCCCACCAAGGCGACGAUCCGUAGCUGGUCUGAGAGGAUGAUCAGCCACACUGGAACUGAGACACGGUCCAGACUCCUACGGGAGGCAGCAGUGGGGAAUAUUGGACAAUGGGCGCAAGCCUGAUCCAGCCAUACCGCGUGGAUGAAGAAGGCCUUCGGGUUGUAAAGCCCUUUUGUUGGGAAAGAAAAGCAGCAGGUUAAUACCCCGCUGUUCUGACGGUACCAAAAGAAUAAGCACCGGCUAACUUCGUG